GCUGCUCCCGGAACACCGCUCCCGGAGCGAUCGUUUCAAUGUUGCUUGCUCGGAAUGGCCCUCCUGAGCAAACAACAGACGGUGCUCAAAGUAACAACUGGACUUAAUAAAAGGAGCUUACACGAAGGAGUUGCUGAAGGCUGCUGUGGUCGUGUGCUGGGGGCUGCCCCAGCUCCAGCUGCAGGACCCCGGCCGUCCGCCUUCCGACUCCGGUGAUGAUUCUUCCUGCGGUCUGAUCAAGAUUCUACCCAGUUAACUUUGUAUCCAAGGAUCUAUAGCCGAGAAAUUUGGAGCUCAGUUUCAAACAAGAAAUCUUAAAAGUUUGAGAAGAAAAUAUGGUAAAUAACUAAGAGAAAUCUCUGGUCAAUACUCAACAAGUCCUUCAGUCCAACAAUAUUCCAUACAUGAAAUCCUGCCAAAAACCAGGGACCCAGCCUUCCUCCCGGCAGGAGGAUGCUGCAUCAAGGCAUCACCUUGAAAGCGAAGAGCAGCCUUCGCCACAUGCUGGCCCCUUGAUCUCGGACUUCCCAGCAUACAAAACUGUGAGAAAUAAAUUUCUUUUCUUUAUACAUUUCUCACUCUGUGUUAUUUGGUUAUAGUAGUGCAAAGUAAGGCAUCCAUCAUGUUAAUAGGAUGGAAAAGGUAGAGUAAUUGUUACAGGCAUUUUGGAAUUAUUUUUCUGGAGUAACCACUUGAACUACUGAGAGAAGAUUGACAGAAAGGCUACACCAAUGUUCCUUUUGUGUCAAUGAUCACAAGAGAUUGAUAUUCCAUUGAACACAUUAUUUUAUCCAAGAAGGUUAAAACUAAACCCAAAGGACUGCUAUUUUUGACUAAGGAGAAAUUCUUUCAGAAGGCAAUUGAUUCAAUGUAUAUGGCCCUCUGAGCAUAUGGCACUUCCAUAUAACCCCUUCCUCAGAAUAUUUUUACCUGAACUGGUUCUAUAUGAUUUUGUAUCUAUUUUCAUUGUUUGAAAUGAUGACUCCAUUCCGGGUGAAGUAUGGUAUAUCUAUUGUGUAGAAAGACAAGGAAGAAAAUAAUGUCUAUAGCUACUAAAGCAUUACUGAUAUUUCCUGAGAAUGCAAUACUUACAAAGGUUGAGAAAUUCACAGGUUAUAAACUACAUACACUUUUAUAGACCCAUUGAAGAAAAGCUCAAUUAAUUGUAAACCUUGUUGCAACAUUUCUUUGGGGGAAAUGGAUAGAUGAUGUUCAUUUUGCUAAACUCAUUCUGCUUAAAACAUUAUUUUGGGGAAAUAUCUGUGUUCUUGGUUUCACAAAUGUGAACUCAUUAGCCAAGUUCAGACAUAGACCCACACAUUUACCUUUAUGCAAUUUCUUUUUCCCCUAAUUAUGAGAUUUUCUCUUGCUCUAGUAAUUUUGACUGUGUGGAGAAAGUAUGCUGGAAAAUGAACUCUGAAUUGAAAGUACAGGAACCUGAUUUGAAGCAGUCAUACUAAUUCUCCUUUCUACCUCUCAUUUACUUUAUCCAGAUAUCAAAACUUUUAAAGUCAGCUUUUACAAAAUGAAUGGUACAGUCUAAAUUCUAUGUUCCAGAUCCCAGGGAUAUAGAAUAAUGUAAGGAGAGCAAGAGAAAGGGUCAAUAGUUUUGGUUUUCAGUUGGAAUAUGUAGAGGGAGAGAAUCAUUUCCAAAUGGUCUCAGUCUACAGGUCAAAACUGGAAAAUUUUUCAAGUCAUUUCCCACUCCAAAAUUCCAUGAAAUAUAUAUCUAUUGCAUUGAAGAAGAAGUUGAUCCCAGUUGAUCUUUGAGUUAAGCUUUUCUUGUAAAUGCUAUUUCUUAAAUAUGUUCUAAAUGCACUUUAUUUAUUUACUUACUUAUUAGAGAUAGGCUCUUGCUGUGCCGCCCAGGCUGGAAUGCAGCAGCAUAAUCAUAGCUCACUGCAGCCCGGAAGCUCUGGACUCAAGUGAUCCUCCCACCUCAGCCUCUUGAGUCACUGGGAUUACUGGUGUGAGCCACUGCACCAAGCCACCUCACAUUUUUGUGUUCAGAAUCUUACCAUAGAUGACUGGAGGCAGAGUAGUCCCCACAAUACAGACUACAUCGUCUUAGGUGGCUACUUAAACACUGGUUUGUUGUCUCCAAGAGACGAAGGUCAUUUAAAUUUGAAUAUCAAUUCUCAUGCCAUUUCAGAUUUUUAGAAUCCAUCAGAAAGCAAAUAAUUAUAUGCACAGACACUUAUGAGACAGUCAAUCUUAUUCAUUGUCCCCUCACAAAAAUAUAGCCCAUAAUAAACAGACAAUUUUGUUUAUUUCCUCAGCCUGGUUUGCACAAGUCUUAGAGUCCUUUAAGCAAUCUUGAUCCAUAUAAUCACUGUGUGACUGCUAUUCUCAGGAACACUCCUGAAAUUCUGGUUUUCAUCCAGCACAAACAUCCAGUAAAAGCUUAGUGGAAAGUUCAUAUAUCAACUAUGAUCUGUAAAAUUUUCCUGGUACAAAAUACAGCAGGUAUGGAGGUGUGUUCUCAGAACUCUCUUCAAGAGAGCCUACUUUGAGUAGCAUAGUUGAAUGACAGCUUCCAUGUAUGGCCACUUUGAUCAUUCACUUCAAGGCCUCACAUCCUCCUGGCUGCUCCCAGCUAAUGACUGAGUAUAGCAGGCUGCUAGUGCUGCCCCAUUUGUUUCUGAAGUGGAAACAUUUGUAACUUUGACUCAAAGACUCCAAAUUAGACUUGUGGAGCCUUUCUCAGAACUUUAUUGCAAUCGGAGGCUCCUCUUACCCAAUCUUACUUUCUUCCUCUCUCGUUUCUCUGGUGUGAGAACAGCAUGGCAGUCCAAAGGCUCUACCUUCUAACUCUUUCUCCUUCUCCCGUUGUCAUUCGCAGGAGUUGUCUAAAUCUCGAUCACUAUUUACUGUUAUUAUUUGGUGAUAAAUCUCUUUUAAUAAAUCUCUCGCACACUUAAUAUGUCUUGGCAUCUACAUCUCAGAGGGCCCAAGCCAACACAGAAAGUGAGCAUUGAGAGCUUUUAUUCUAUUCAGGAGAAUUUCUUCAGUUCGACAAUAUUACAUGACUAGUUGUAAAUAUAAAAUACUCAAAAAAUACGUGGUCUGAAGUUCAAGUGUCUUUCCUCAAGGAAAGCAUUAAGAGUAAAGACAUUCAUUUAUUCCCUCAUGUAUUAAUCCAUUCAUUCAAUCAAUAAAAUGGUCAUUAAAACAGACAUGGCUCACACACAGCAGACGAAGUGCUGUACCAGAAUAAGAUGGUCUUAGUCAUCAUAAAGCUUACAGUCUAAUGUAGCAAGUCUUAAAUAUUUUUUAUUGUUGUUUAGGGGCCUCUUGGGGUUUGAUAAACGCUAUGGACAUGGUCCCCAGAAAAUUCAUAUGCACAUAUGCAUAUAAGAACAUUCUGAAGCUGGGCACAGUGGCUCAUGCUUAUAAUCCCAGCACUUUGGGAGGCUGAGGCAGGAGGAUCACUUGAAGCCAGGAGUUCAAUACCAGCCUGGGCAACAAAGCAAGAGCACAUUUGUACAAAUCGUGUUUUAAAAAACAAGCCUGGUAUAGCAGUGUGCACCUGUAGUCCCAGCUACUUAGGAGGCUGAUGAGAGAGGAUCACUUGAGCCAAGGACGUUGAUGCUGCAGCGAGCUAUGAUCGUGGGAGUGCACUCCAGCCUGGGUGACACAGCGAGAUCCUGUCUCAAGAAAAGAACAUUCUGUGUAAAUACUGGAGAUUUCAUGAACAUAAUUCUAACAGCUUGAGUUCCUCCUUUGUCCUGGCUCAUGUGGCAAUCUGGCUGUAGUAACUGCAAUCCUGCCAUGUUCUUCCGUACCCAGGUUCCUACUUUCGGCACCUUUACUAUAAUCCAGAUUCUCUCAAUCGAGCAUAGUCUUUUCUUCCUUCCUAUAGAGACUGGAAAACAAUCUCUGGAAUAGAGUCUGGCUUCUCCAGAAUUGUUAGUUUGCUUUCUGGGAUUUCUCUUCAUGACCGAAAGGCAUCAUUUUUCAACUGUGUAAUUCCAGCAGCCUCCUAGCCCUUCUCUCCAAUAUCUCCUUAUUCUGUUCUGUCAUAUUCUAAAACCAGAUUCUCUUAAUAUUCAUGAAGCACAGAUUUGCAGAUGACCCUUCUGUUGUCAAUCAGAUUCUCCUGUCCUCUUGCCCAUGGAAGAAGGCACAUUGAACUCAAUCAUUAUAAACAUCCUCUACAUAAACUCCAUGUUCCAGAGAAAGUCUAGUCUUUGCUUGUCAUUGAAGACAAUGCUCAUUUUCCUGCCUCAGUGGUUUCUGUCAACUAAAAUGCUUUCUAUCCCCUUUUCUGAUUAUCUCUGUCCAGGUGUUAAGGCCUGAAUAAAAUGCCCACUCUUCCAUGGUAUACAAGCAAGGGAAGUAAUAUGAGUUGAAAUAAAAGUGGUUAAGAGGGAAUGGAAAGUAAAGAAUUCGUGUAAGACCUAUUUUAAAGGUAGAAGUAAAGGUACUUAGUUUCUGAUUUUAAAUAUGAGGAUAAUAUUAAAUAUUAAUAAAAACUACCAAUUUGUAGCACUUACCCUGUAUCUACCUCUACAAAUUGUGUUCUACAUGAAUUAGUUAUUUUAUAUAAAUAUCCUGGACAGGAAGUUGCUAUUAUUAUCCUAGUAUAUAGAUGAGAAAAUAGAUCCUUACAGAUGUUAGUAAACUAUUUAAGGUUUCACAGCUUCCAGAGUAAAGUUGACAUUUUAAUUCAGGUAUGUCUAACCUAUAUUAUGGUCUUAACCGUGAAGACAUGACUUGGAGGCUUGUAGCCUGAGGGAACUGGUAAAAAAUUGUGAGAGAAAUAAGCAAAACAAUUCUUCUUUUUAAAACAUUUAACUUUGAAACAUUUAAAUAAUAUGUAGAAGGAGACAUUCACCAGAUAAUUGCAAUCAGAGAAACGGAAUUUGGGAAAGGAAUAAUUAAUACAGGUAUUGAUGGAGAUUCCAAAAACAAUUGAAACAAAAACAAAAAUUGACAAAUGGGACGUAAUUAUGGACCUUCUGCAUAGAAAAAAUCAACUAUCAACAGAGUAAACAGGCAACCUACAGAAUGGGAGAAAAUAUUUGCAAAAUAUGUAUCUAACUAAGGUCUAACAGCCAGAAUCUACAAGGGACAUAAACAAAUAAGCAAGC